rnacentral:rRNA from 1 species
CAGUCGCCGCGGUAACACCGAGGUCUCGAGCGUUGUUCGGAUUCAUUGGGCGUAAAGGAUGCGUAGGUGGCGGUGUAAGUCUAACGUGAAAUCUCGGGGCUCAACCUCGAAAUUGCGUCGGAUACUGCAUUGCUAGAGGAUUGUAGAGGAGAGUGGAAUUCAUGGUGUAGCAGUGAAAUGCGUAGAUAUCAUGAGGAAGACCAGUUGCGAAGGCGACUCUCUGGGCAAUUCCUGACACUGAGGCACGAAGGCUAGGGGAGCAAACGGGAUUAGAUACCCGCGUAGUCCCUGUCUCUUAUAC